AUUGAACGCUGGCGGAAUGCUUUACACAUGCAAGUCGAACGGCAGCACGGGGGCAACCCUGGUGGCGAGUGGCGAACGGGUGAGUAAUACAUCGGAACGUGCCCAGUCGUGGGGGAUAACGUAGCGAAAGCUACGCUAAUACCGCAUACGAACUCAGGUUGAAAGCGGGGGAUCGCAAGACCUCGCGCGAUUGGAGCGGCCGAUGGCAGAUUAGGUAGUUGGUGGGGUAAAGGCCUACCAAGCCGACGAUCUGUAGCUGGUCUGGGAGGACGACCAGCCACACUGGGACUGAGACACGGCCCAGACUCCUACGGGAGGCAGCAGUGGGGAAUUUUGGACAAUGGGCGCAAGCCUGAUCCAGCCAUUCCGCGUGCAGGAUGAAGGCCCUCGGGUUGUAAACUGCUUUUGUACGGAACGAAACGGCCUGCUCUAAUACAGCGGGCUAAUGACGGUACCGUAAGAAUAAGCACCGGCUAACUACGUGCCAGCCGCCGCCGUAAUAC
rnacentral:rRNA from 1 species